GAUGAACGCUGGCGGUGUGCCUAAUACAUGCAAGUCGAGCGAACAGACGAGGAGCUUACUCCUCUGACGUUAGCGGCGGACGGGUGAGUAACACGUGGAUAACCUACCUAUAAGACUGGGAUAACUUCGGGAAACCGGAGCUAAUACCGGAUAACAUGUUGAACCGCAUGGUUCAACAGUGAAAGACGGUCUUGCUGUCACUUAUAGAUGGAUCCGCGUCGCAUUAGCUAGUUGGUAAGGUAACGGCUUACCAAGGCAACGAUGCGUAGCCGACCUGAGAGGGCGAUCGGCCACACUGGAACUGAGACACGGUCCAGACUCCUACGGGAGGCAGCAGUAGGGAAUCUUCCGCAAUGGGCGAAAGCCUGACGGAGCAACGCCGCGUGAGUGAAGAAGGUCUUCGGAUCGUAAAACUCUGUUAUUAGGGAAGAACAAAUGUGUAAGUAACUAUGCACGUCUUGACGGUACCUAAUCAGAAAGCCACGGCUAACUACGUG
rnacentral:rRNA from 1 species